rnacentral:lncRNA from 1 species
UUUUUUUUUUUUUUUUUUUUCAAGUCCUGCUUGAUCCUUUGCGUUUUAGGAGCACUUGGCUUUGGCUAGUCCAAUUCUCAGGCAGACUUAACCACACUAUAUUGAGUUAAUCCACCCAAUCUCUCCUAGAAAGAGUAGGUUGGUCACUAAAAAACUGCAUUUAUCCAGUACCCCUAAGUACUUUGUCAGGUUCCAACUAGUGAGAAAAAGGAAUCAAAGGACAAAUUGAUGUCAGACGAGAAAAUGGCAGUGAAGCAAAAAAAGGUGAAAAGAAUGCAAUAGCACUCUUCAAAGUUCCAAUCAACCGUUCGACAUCAAACGCAGUACCGCUGCUUUUUCGAGGAUUUAUAGCCUCAAGCUUAGUUAUCAUCAGUGUCCCACGGGAAACAUGUAAUAAACGGUCUUCUCAAAUAGUAAUAGUAUCUUCUGCUAAGGUCUAAAAUUGUCCACAAAACAAACCACAGUGACAUUUUAACAACUGUUUGAGCGAUUUUGCAUGUAUGACAUGAAAUGUGAAAUCUUCUGCUAAGGUCUUGAGAUUGUCCAAGGUCCAAAGAACAGGCCACAGUGACAUUUUAACCACUCUUUAAGCGAUUUUGCAUGUAUUACAUGAAAUGUGAACGAGGACAUAGAGACAUACAGGAUUCCUGUGGACCAGCAUGACUUGGCUUGCUUACCAUCGGGUAAAAGGAAGCAACUCCAGUUUUCUUCGAAAUGACUAAAACUGGGAUAUAAUUUCUACUUAUGUGCAGACAGGUUGGUCCGUAUACCUAACGGUCUGCAAUGUUAUGUAGCAUGCAUGAAGGACAUUAACUUUUACCAUACUUUCUUUGUUCAAGGAAUCUUGGUUUGUCUCUUUUUUUUUUUUUCAAGAUGAUAACUGUUGUAUAACCUGUUUUAUCUUAAACUACAGGAAAUGAGAAGUUUAAAGAGACUUGUAUCAGGAAUUAGCAGGCACACAGACUUACUAGACUAAAGGAGUGUUUUGGCACAACACUUGAAUUUUUUUCGCUGCAGUAAGAUUUGAAUCCCCAUUUAUAGCCCAAGGAGACUGCCACUAAGCCAAUCUUAGUGGUUAAGGAAUCUUGGUUUGUCAUUGUCUCGAAAUCGAAAUCAACGAAAAUGUGGGAGCCUGGGUUGGAAUCAAUUAGCUUACGUGUAAGAACUGAUUGGCGAAAAGUUUCCAUGUCAAAAUCAAAAUUCUUUCAACGAUAUAGUUGCCAGCACGUUAAGUAACCUAAAUGCUCUAACUUCCAAUUUUCAUCAGCCUUUAGCGUGAUGUGAUGUAAAACGAAUAAUUCAGGAAAAAUAGAGAACUUUAACUUUUCUUGCACGCAAGUGUACAUUUGGUUCUCCAAUUAAGUACACAGGAAAGAAAGACUUUUCAUUCUCUGCCUUUUGAAAUCCUCAAAAGUUGCCGUCCUUGGCAUGCUGAACAUAGUCGUCCUAGGUAAUCUUUCCAUGGAAGAUCUCGUACACUAUAACUUUAAAAUGUCAAUUUUAUGACACAUACGAAUCAGGAUCCUUGACUUCUGAUAGCUCAAGAAUUGAUAUGUAUGCCAUUGAGUUGUUUGAAUGAUUAUACUUCUUCUCCUGCCUACUGCAUAACGCCUCUAUUUCUCACCUCGUUUCCUGCUAGGACCAUCCAACAGCCCGGGCUCUGCAGAUGGACCUAAGAGUCUUUAUAAGAGUCAAUCUGGAAGUUUAUACAUAUAUGAGACGUAGAGAAGAUGAUAAGAAGAAAUCAUGAUGGCAAGAAAUUGUUAAUCCCCUUAGGCUGAGAGACAAAAUAUAUUAGCUCUACAAUCAAUCAAAGCCUUUUUUUUUUCCCAUUUAUGCAACACAUCAUUACACCAUUAGGCUCUACAAUAAGCACAAAGCAACAAAAAGGAGGUAAAUACCAUCUAAACUUGCAUUUUUUCAGUCAGACUCCAAUUUUGCUUGGCACCUGAAAUAUACUUCAGAAUAAUAAAUAUGCCCUUUGUCUGGCAAGUCUGACGCACAUUACAUUUAUGCUAAAGUUCAAUUACACAAUUAAAUAGACGCUUUCCAUCUGAUGCAUUGUUGCAAAAUAGUAAAUCAAGUACAAAAUUGAAUCAGCCCAAGCACAAUCUAACAAAGGGGAAAUUUCCAUGUACAAACCCAAACUCGCUAAUCUACAGGAAGCAGCACUUGGGAAAACAGAAUAACCCCAAUGCUGACAUCAAUCAAUAUAUUAAGGUCAUCGGUUCAGCACUGUUUGAAUAGCAUUCUGUUGAGCCGUAGUUAAACUCUGCAAAUUGAGUUAUACAGGGUUCAGUGAAACAGCAUAAAAUUAUAGUCUGCUUAUGUUUAGCAAUAGUAUUUUCAAUGCUAACCAGACCUGCAGAAGGUUAUUAAAAAAUGGCCUAUUGUUCUGAGAGAAGUUGACUAAGAAGUCCACAAGAUAGUUGACCAGAUUAAUCUGCCAAUAUCGAGCGAAAGAAAUAAGUUUAAAUUAAGAAGGGCAUACUUUUAACCAUAUAUGAUAGUUAUAGAGCGCAGAUUUGCACCUCAUUAAGGGGGUCAGCACCACUGAGGAACUCAUCUUCACAAUCCUCAUCAUCCUGCACCAUCACACGAAACCAAAGUAGCCAAGAAUCCAGUCAAACAGAUGUACAGAAAUCAAUCAUUCAGAACACAAGAAAGCUGCAGCCAAUCAGUGAAACCUCAUUGAAAGCCUUUGCCAUUGCAUCAAGAUACUUAUGUGUAGGUCUACUAUGUGAUGUGGCACUAGCUGAAUAAAGCAACUCUUGAUCAAUCCCAGCAUCUCCAGUCUGAACCUCCUCCCAAUCACUAUCCUGAAAUGCCAAUUAGAGCAGGAAAAUAAAUUCCAAUUUAAACAGACAUCACGGAACCAAUACAAAAUUUACUUCAUAAAUACCUCUUCAUCAUCAUCCACAACUUGUUCAUGAAUUUCAAUCAGAGCAUCUGCCAAUAAAGCUAGUAUCUGAUAUUUUGAGUAAAAAGAUGGGGUCAAAUUAUUGAACCACAAAUAAACCACUUUGGUGUACAUUUACAAAAAAGAAUACGUUUCCACUUCCACUACUUCAUUACCUAGUUUUCCUACUUGCUUUCCUGUCAUAAAAGUUUAAGCAUAUACAAAGUUUCGAAAUUCAAAAUUAAGAAUAAAGGCAGUUGCCUGCUAUCAAUGGAAAGAGUAAAUAGCAUGAUCUAACAACAAAAGCGAAAUGAAAGACUAGAUUUAACUGACUGGAAUCUGCAUCCCAAUUAUUCCAGAGUCAGAGUCUUAUUCUUAGACAGAAGACACAAUAAGCUGCAAAAUGCAGGCAAAAAGGGUUAACAAAGUGACUUUGCAUGGAAACAUGCAACCAUAAUCACCAAUAUUACUUCUAAUCUCGAAACUAUGUAUCUCCUACAUAUAUGUUUAUCCCUAAACAUAUAACACCAGAAAAAAGUAUAAUUUUUGUAAGACUUUUUUUCCUGCUUUGCAUUUUGAUGGUCCACAAAAGUGCAAAGCCCCAUACCCUCAUGCUUCCAAUCUAACACCACUAGCUGGUCACAUAGCAUCAGAAUGUGAUUGGUUUAAAAAUUGACUUUUACAACUAUAGUGAUUGGAACAAGAAAUCACAAUGCACAUUCAUUCACAUUUCUGACAUCCGGACCAAAAGUUUAUCCACCCAAGAAGCAUUUUUGGUUGCAGAUAGCAUAGGAAGUACCUUUGCAGGAAGCGGCAUCAGUGUCCAGUGAUCUGGAGCUAGUUUAGCUCUUGAACGAGUAAUUAUUCCUGCAUUAGACUUCAAUUUUCAUAUGAAGCUGAUUAAGAUCUUGAACAAUGUCUCUAAGUGCAUGUGCUAGGAACAAAUUUAACCAACCUUAACUAGGUGGCCCUGGACAUCAAUCUUUUCCAAUUCAGCAUGCCUGGUGGAUAAUAGCAAAGCCAAUGCGGUGGUGGUUACUUUGAUCUGGUAUGCCCCCAAAAUUUCCCCUGAAUUAAAUAAAGCAUAAACUCAUCAGUUGGUUACUUGCUUCUGUACAUCUAUUCCUAGAAAAAUAUCAACAGGCUAUCAGUCAUCAGUUGGUUUACUACUGCUAUUAAGACAUUACUUCUAGGCAUAUUCCAGACAAACAAAGAAAUGGAAAUAGUAAGAGGCUAUCAUAUCAUUAAUAUUCUUCCUUCAAGCCUGCAAACUUGGUAGUUUACUUUAAAGACACAGAAAUGAAAGGUCGAAGGUUGUUUGUCAUCUAUUAAACAAGAAGGAGAGAAACAAUUUCCUUUAAAGUAUGUCCCAAGGUUUGAUUGAUUCCUAAACAAAAGAACAACUUACAAUACUAUUACUUAGAACCCCUGAGGAUCAGUGUAGUUCUUAUUUUAAUUGGUACAAAAUAAAUGAUCUGAUUAGUAUAACCACCUAGUCCUUGCAAAAAGAAACUGCCAUGUAAGUGCACACCACACGUUACCAUCACCACAGUUAACAGACAUGAACAAUGUAACAAACACUAUUCUCUUCUGCACAUAGUACAAACAAAUAUGCGCAUGCAACAUGAUGAUGACUCUAGCUUAGCUCCUGUUUCCAAAUCUUGAGAGGAGGACAAUAAUAACACUGAGGUACCAGCAGUAUCAAUUCAUGGUUAUUAUGAUAGAUUGCAGAAGAAGGGACAUAUAAAGUAGCUUAACCAAAUAAAAGAAGUCUGUAUCUGAACAACUAAAGAUGCCUGGGCCUGUGAGCAGGAUUAGUCCAAUCUAUCAACUAAACCUACCUUUCCCAUGCUCCCACAUGAUUUUCUGAAACAUGAUAAACUGAAUCUCAAAGCACUCAAACUACCAACAUAUCAUAUCAACAUGAAUCAUAAACCCACUGCCUUCUCAUUCUAUUUAUCAGCCCAAGAUUCAGCAAUUCAUCUAAACACAUCAUGGACAAUGCCUAAUUCCAAAUUCAUUAAUAAGGCAAGGCAACAUGCAAUUACUCUGGGACGAUAGACAUACAAGCUAUACAAGAAUAUCUGUACCAAACAAUGUGAAGAAGGCAAGCCUAUACACUCACCUUGCUGUCUAGUCCACUCAGACAUCACAUAAGCAAAGGAGUUUUUAUGGCCUUCAGCUGGAAUUGAGACCAGCAAAUCAAUAAACUUUUCAACGUUUGGGAGACUCAUAUGGGCCUGCACAGAAAAAUGUCUGAUGACCAUAGCUGCAGUUACAAAGUAGAUACUGGAAGCAAAAGAGACAGCACAAGUAAAAAUGGAAAAUGAACAAAUGAAAAAAAAAAGUUCAUGCAUAAAAAAGCUGACAAGCUGUAAUUUGACUGAAAAUCCAAUAAACAGAGAUAAGCAAAAUGUUUGAAUUUGAGCUUCCAUGGUGCAAGGGUCCAUUAUUCAAUUUUAAUAUGCCAAAAUUGCAUGUGAGAAACUCAAUUGUGUUGAAGUCCUAAAAGUUCAGAAGCAGUAUCAUUGCCUAAACUAAAGUCAAGAAAAGUGUUUCCUACCAGUCUAGCAAAAAUAAGGAGCAAUGAGCUUCUGAGUCCAGCAAUCUCAGAAGACUGCAUGCGCCUAAUAAGAGCAACAACCAGGUCUCUGAUAUGCAAUGCCAUUUGUGAAGGAAGAUGUAGGAUAAGUUGCAAAAUGAAAGAGCCAACAAAGAGUGAGCCAGAGCUUUCAAGAUUAGGAUCUAGCAACCUGCAAACAGAUUCUAACCAUUAGUUAACCCAAAACCAAGUACAGUAAUACAACAUAUGAUGGAUAAUCCCACCCUCUCCCUUUAGCCCAAUCUUCUUUGACAAGCAAAGAGGUAGCAGAGUAAUAAGUAACUCAGUGUUCAUAUUAUUUGGGUCUACCCACUAAAAACAAGCAUCAUAAUGGGAAAACAUCAUCACAAGUGUGUCCUGAUCAAUAAUCUCGCUUGACAAUUCAGGGCAAUCAAAUAAUCCUUUCAUGCUGAAAUCAGUUUCCAAUUGAUAGAAAGUGUCAUAGAUAGCAAGUUAGGCUAAUAGAAUUUGUUAAAACACAUUAGGGAAGAUAAAAAGUCACCCAGUAAAUGUCCUCUUCCUGAGUAGUGAAUAUUUGCACUUUCCUUUGAAGCUAGAGUGAACACACAAAACUGCAGAGAAAAGAACGUUGAUGGAAAAAUGAAAAGUAGAGAAGACAUAAAAUAUUUCUUAAUCCUCAAUGCAGAUCUGAAACUGUUGCAUCAUUGAUUCAAUAAACAUGAGAACAGCUCUCGUGCUCUGGAUAAGUCAACUUCAAAACAUGGACAUUCCAAUGAAGAGGUAGAAAAUGAAAGAAUCAAGAGUUCAUUGUCAUGUUCAAUCGGAAUUCUAGCACAAGAAUGAAGAAACAGAAAUUUGAAGCUUCAUCAAGAAAAAUAAAAUAGAAAAACAAACAGCGAAGUACCUUGAAGCUACAUCAAGCAAACUUCUCAUUGCGAACGCAGGAUCUCCACCCCACAUAAGUAAUUCUUCUUUCCCACCGGAAACAAGGGAUGCCAAGCACUGAGUUGCAUUCUGAUAGCAUUUAAGGCAACAAGAACUCGUCAUUUUCUAAAUUUGCUGCAAAAAAACCACUGAAAGUGUAGAUGUUCUAAGAUUGUACCUAAACAAGAAAACUGGGGAAAAAAUGAAGUAGCUAAUGAAAAGAACCUGCAUCUCACUAUGGUCAUCACUUUGAAGGACUAUUCGAGUGAUGGAAUCAAAAGAAACUUCAAAAAUUGCUCGUACAACAUCACUAGGAGCAUUCUGCAAAUUUAGUGUCUUUAGCAACGAACUUAAUGCAAAAAGUUUCAUUAAAAGCGAGGAUCUCCUAUAACACUUAAAUUAGAUUUAAACAGAACAGAUGAGCAAAAGUUGAACUCACCUUUAAUAACAUUGUCAGAAGAUCAAGAGAACCAGCAACUAAACCAUCCGGCUGCUGAUGUGGCUGCCAAUGGUCAACAAGUAUCAUUCAAUGCAAAGUACUGUAGAACCAAUAAGAUCUCAAUGUAAUAUUGACAGAAAGUAAAUCAGAGCCUACUUUAUUGAGAAUUGGUGUAGUAUAGGGUAAAACACGAGAAACUAAGGGAUGGAUACAACCAGGAGCAUUCUUUAUGGCCUGCAGCAGAAAACAGAAAGACAUAAUUAAGUGAUUGAGUAAACAUAAUGGACAGAGUGGGAGAUGAUACACCUCCACGCUGAUAUACUCAUAAAUGCUGCUCUUAAGCUGAACACAUUCUGAAGGGUGAAAUAUAUUGAUUGGGAUUCAUAACUAAGCAUCCGGAAGGGGGGGGGGUAAGAUGAAAAUACUAAUUUGUUCAAAAAAAUUAAACAUCCCCUUAAUUCUUCAAACUGAAAAUGGAAUAUAGAGAUGAUGGUUAGCCAUUUGCACAGCUCUUCAGUCUAUUCUUUGGUGAAUCAUACAUGUUUCUGUAUUCUUUCACAACUAGCAUAAUUACUUGUCUAAUUCUCAAGUCUACAGUACAUAGAAAGGGAAGCAAGCAUUGGUUUUUGCCAGGUCUCUCCUGAAAAUAGCCUCAUUAACCACUGAUGAGGAAAGUCACUGAAGUUUCAACCAGAAAGUUCCACUUCACAGCCUUUUCUUUAACUCACUAUCGUGAUUCUAUCACCCAUCUAAGAUAAAAAAUAAUAAUAAUUUUAAAAAUAUAGAUGGCAAAAUUCUGAAACGAUAGAUAACAUGACAUAAGAUUAUAGAUAUGUUAGACACAUGUUGCUUAAUGUCUAGCACUAAAAUGUCAAACCAAGAUACAGGUCUGAUAUGAAAACUUAAUAAGCAGCUAAACUGUCAAAACGACUGAGGAUUCCAUAUACUUCAAAUGACGCAACAUCAAAGUCUAUCAAAUUCUUUGUGCAAAAAACAUCAAAUCACUGAACUUCUGUGAAAGAUGAUGAUGCUUUCCAGACACAGAAGAGCGGAAGGGAUCAAAUUCCAGAGGUUUAGGAACUUCAGUUUUGAAAGAUUUUGGGAACCAUUCAAACAAGUUCCCACUGCCUGUUUGUUGAUUUGAACUCUUAUCCCACAACUGAAAGCAUGAACUCCUUAACAAAAGAAACAAGUGAAAAUUCAACAAUUCCUCAUUGGUUUAUAGUUUAAAAUGAAAAUUUCUCCAGUAGAGCAAUGUCAGCUUAUCUUUGUAUUCAAGUUUUACUAAAGCAACAAUCACCAAGAUCUUCAUAAAAUGACCAUCAAAGAAGACUGAAGACAAGAUUUAGAUAGACAGGAUCAAUAAAAGGAAAGUGGUGCAACCCAAAAAAUGAUUUUAUCAGAAAAUUUAAGUUUUUUAUUUCAGUUACAGCUCAAGGGUCAUAUCAUGCACCAAAUUGCACCCCUUGUGUAUUAAACAUAAAACACGAAUAACUUCCAGAACCAAAGGCAAAUGGGAAAAUCACCUCCAAAACCUCAAUUGCAUCUAUGCUGAUGAAAGGGUCAGAAACAUGUGAAGCCCACAUGGUAAGAAUAAUUGGAGAGAGAACAGGUUCUAUCGAAACUAAUGCUUUAUGACCUGAAAUUUAUGACAAUGCAAAAUAAAGGCAGGAAAUAAAUGGAGAUCACUGAAGAAAUCUUAGGGGAAUAAACACUAUAAGAACACAACUCGUUUCAAAAUCAACCUGCCGUAGCUGCUGCUCGUAAUGUUUCAAGUACUAGAUGCAUGGUUUCAUCGGAGGCCUAAUAAAGCAGAUAGCAACUGUAAGAUGCAGCUUCAACAUUAAUGAGAAACAUCCCAUCGUGUCUACCAAAAAAGCAGUAUUGUAAAAGUGCAACUGCUGCAUUGCCUGGUUAAGUAGAUUGGUGAGUGAUGAAAAUAACUCCAAUAUAAGAGGCUGAAGCACUUCACUUUUUACAUCAGGCAAAAGCUGCGAGAGUGCACGACAGGCACCAACUUUCACAGGUGGGGGCCUAUAAAUGGAGAAGUAUAGUCAAGUUAUAAUUUGAAAGUUGGUCCCAUAGUACAGAAAGAUAAGGCAAUCAGGUAAUCAGGUUCUUACACAUCCAUGCCAACUGCCUUGAUACCAGCAACUAAGAAAUGCUCUACAACAUUACUUUUGAUCUGAAGAACACAGGAGUUAAAUGAGGUCAAAUAUUCCACUACACCGGAAAAGGGAAAAUAAACAGGACCAGUAGUUACCACAGAGGAGAACUUUGCAACUGCUGAAAACAGACGAGCAUAAAGAAAAGGAUACUCAUGCACCCCUGCAAGAUAGACAGCAAUAUCAACUCAAUAGGGUUAGACCUACAUACUCCCAACCCCGCCUCCAAAAUAAGAAGAACUCUGCCACCAACCAAAAAAAAAAUUAUCUUGUGUAUAUAUUUGUACAUGUGUGUGUAUACACACACUUGUAUGUUAACAACCAAUUCACUGCAUUGACAUUAUUUCUCCUUUAGUCCGACGGCUAGCAGAGACACCAUUCUAUUGAUCUUUCGCACCAUGGGGUGAGAAUCUAAUUCCAUAUUCAAGAAAGAGUAGUACAUACUGCACAACAGAACCUACCUGUUGCCAUGUCUUCUAUGAAUAUUUGCUCCAUAACAUUUCCUAGACUGACUUCUGAAACUCCAGAAUCCUGCAAAGUAGGAAAUGAGCGAUUCAGAGACUAGAUGCAAUUUUAUAGCCCAAUUUCCUUUCUUUUGUUGAGUUUGCUAAUUUGACAGGUGCCCUUAUUUGCUUAUAUCAGAAGGCAGAUAUAAUCAUAUUACUUCAUGUUGUGCUCUUAUAAAACAUCUGUUCUUAUCAUAUUUAUAAAAAUGUAAAGAAGCUUAAGCACAAACCUCAGCCUCAAGCAAAUGUUCUGAUACAGCAGACAGAGCAUAAAGGGUAGCUUCGCGCAUCUGCAAAAUUCAUUUCUCAGGUAAGCUAAACAUGUACUCUACAUUUAAAAAUCAACUUAAGUAGUUCCACGUUUGUCCUCGGAAAAAACAGGCAUCGAAAGAGAAAAAGUUUGACACUUGCACCCACUAUAACUAACCGGCAAAAAAUGUUAACCAAUAAACAAACCACUAUUAAAAGGAUUGAUAGUGAUAAACAAGUAGAUGUCAUUACAGACCAUGAUCAGAAACCAGCAAAAUAAAUCAACAACUUUUUAUAUUACAUGUCAUCUUACUAGAACUGGAACACUAAAGUAGCCCCAUCAUAGGACUCAAGCAUGCUUUUUUCCGUUUAAUAGAUAAAUACUACCCAUAUGCCGUAUCCUAAAGCAAUUAACAGCAGCAUGAGACAUAGGAUCAGUUACAUCAGAUCACUACACAUAAAAGCUCUCUCCUAUCCAAAACUUUCCUCCCCAUUUGACCUAAAAGAGAAGCACAGUGCAAAAUCAUACAAAAUCACUAACUAAUCACAGCUCUAACAUAGUCUAAUAAGGGAAGUGGGGGAAAAAACACAAAGAUUUGUCUCAAUCGAGUAUCCAAAAGGGUUAAGUGCAGCCAUCAACAAGGCAUUCUAGCAAUUAGAAAAGUAUUAGCAAAGUACAUUGAUGAGUAUGUAACAAACCACUUACAUUGAUGAGUAUGUAAAAACACAAAGAUUUGUCUCAAUCGAGUAUCCAAAAGGGUUAAGUGCAGCCAUCAACAAGGCAUUCUAGCAAUAGAAAAGUAUUAGCAAAGUACAUUGAUGAGUAUGUAACAAACCACUUACCCUCCACCAACUAGCAGCACCAGCAGCUUUCUCUGCUUGGGACUCUCUAAAUCUUCUUUUUGCAGAAUCAAGCACAGCAUCUAUGCCCAAAGCACCAAAAGAACUAAUCACCUCCUCAAUGAGAAGUGCACCUAGAAAGGAUUGAACAAUUAGAGAGAGACUUGUUAUAAGAGCUCCAAUUGGCCAAGAACAAGAGAAUCACAGCAAUCUACGUGACCAAGGUCAAGGAGUAUCAAGAAUUAUGGUCAAAUUAAAAAGGUAACACAUUAUUUAUACAGACUAAUGUAUUUGAAAAUGACUAUCUAGGGCUUCAGAAUCCAUUACCUACUUAAAGAAGGGGAAAGAAAAACCAAUUUCUUCAGUAGGUUAUUUUUAAACUCCAGAUAAGCAAAUUAAGUUAUCAUCACACGUAAAAUAAGUAUACUUCCACUAUCAUCUUUUCCACAUCCUUACCCAAAAAAAAAAAAAAAUUCUAAACAAAAGCCACAGCUGAUUUUCAUAUAGUUAUCUCUGAAUCCUAAUAUUUGAUUAUCCCAGCAAAACUACUUUUCAGGAAUACCUACCAUAUGCAAAACCAAGACAUGGAUCGAAAUAUAGUUUCCAUGACAUGAAGAGCAAUAUGGUUUCCAUUACAGAAGAUGAUACAUAAAAAUUACAUCACCACAGCGUAUAUGCACAUCACUAAGAGUCUAGGACGCUAAGGAAACUCUGAGCUUGUUAGGAGAAAAAUUUGUGCUAACGCGACUAAGAAACAACACCAACUUUGCCCUCUACUGAACUUCUCUCAGAAUUGACUCUCUGCAAAAGGAAGGGAUAAAAAGAAAGGAAUAAUUUCUCUCAAGUUUUGCCUUUCUCAUGCUAAAACAUAGAACACUGAUCAUCUAAAUGAUUUUCAGUUUUGUUUAAUAAACGAAAACAGGUAAAGAUGGUGUCUGAACUUAGGAGUCCUAUCUAUACUAGCGAAUGACCACAACCAAAUCCCCUGCACAAAAGUUUUAAUUGAAUUAGUUGAUUGUGCAAGAAGAGAGGGCAAAUAGAAGCAAAUCUUCACAUAGUGCAAGGAAGUAAAACAAGUGCAACAGCUACAGCUCACCAGACACACGACAACUAUAAGUGUUGUCAUCCUCAUCAGCGACAUACUGAUUAGCAUCCAGAGACCACGUAUGGACCUAAAGCAAGUUGCAAGAACAUUAUGCAAGAGUAAAACUGACAAGCAGAAGACUAAUUGAACUUCCAGAAAUGACAAUUAGACUGGAGGCAGUAUUACAAACUCGUUUAUGCAAAAAAAUAAGCUGAACAUAUAACAACUACAAGAUGAAGUAACAUAUAUCCCUCGAAGCAGUUUCAACAAAAAUUACAGCAAAAAGCUCUGACACCUGCUCUAUGGAAAUUAACAAGUAAUCCACCGAAACCCGCCCGGCCAUAAUAUGGCAGAUAGAAUGUCUAACUCCAUAGUUCCAGAAGAUACAAAUUUCCAUUCUUUAUAGAAUGUCUAACUCCAUAGUUCCAGAAGAUACAAAUUUCCAUUCUUUAAGGCAUAUAGCAGUUACCAAUUGUAGGGAGUCAUGCAAUACAUGUGAAAUAGAAAUCCAAAAAUAAUCAUCAUUUAACUUCCAAAAACUCAUUUACCAAACUUGCGUGGAGCAAAUUAGGCGAAUUUGUUAGGUCCAGCUGUAAAAGAUAUAUACAGAUUGGAUACUAAAAGUGAACAGAGAAAAUAUCACCUGUUGUUCAGUCAUCUGCAUAAAGGAAACGGUAUAGUACACCAACUCCUUCACAUUAUUUGCAACAACCUGCAUCAAUAUAUUUUUAAGACAUGAAAUCAGAUUACAUGUAGAAAGCAGAGCUGCAGAUCAUAAAUGAUAAAGAAUUUCAAGAAUGACCUAAUAACCACCUCUCCAAACUUCUUGCUACCCACUAUGGUCAACAGGGUCUCAAAUAACUGCAAGUCCAAAUAAGCGGCUUUCAGUCAUGUUGGACAAGAAAUAUGUUAUUAUAUACACCAAAUACCCGGUGAAAAGAGCAAGCAAGAAGGAAGAAGUAAACAGUCAAAAAGCAACAAACAGAAGUUACAACUACUUGAACAAUGCUAUCCUGUAUGGCAUACAAUUAGGAAGGAAACAACUAGAAGAGGAGAAGAAGAAAAGGAGAGAGAGAGAGAGAGAGAGAGAGAGAGAACGAUUUAAGUAUAUUCCUGCUCAACAAGAUUUUUUGCAUACACUUAAAGAAAUAAAUGUACGAAUGAAAACUUAUUCCACAGUCUCAGUCAAAAACAGGUCUAAAGAAAAGGCCGCCGGGGGGGAAGCAGACUCAAUUCAUCGAGCAACUAAAAUGUUCAUCUUCAAAUUUCUUUACACCCAUCAAAAAGACUUUUAUCAGGUUACAGCAGCAGGAGUCCUAGAUCACAUCCACUGAGUACGGAAGUCCUUCUGGUGGAAAAUACCAUUUCCAAUAUAAGCCAGAACAACCAAAGCAAUACACGAGACAGAUGAAAUACAAUCAUCGAUGUAAUCCACAUUAUACAAACUUCAAUAGGAAGAAUCAGACGAGUUCUCUCCAAAAUAAAAUCUUCCAAGUACCAGAAAAGAAAUGAACUGGCAGACUGAAUUUCCAACUAAAAGUCUUGCUUUAAUAGACAAUUUAAACUUGGUCUCCCACCUCGCACUUCCAUACUUGUAGCUCCUUUCUCUUUUCAGCAAUUAAGGUGACAUCAUUUUUUAAACUUCUAUGUUGUCAAGUUUUAAGAACAGAUGCUGAUAGAGCUAAAAAAGACUAUCAUAUUAUCUGGAUAUAUGUAUGUAAGAAUUUCACUCAUCAAACAAAAAAUGUUUGCAGUAGCGAUUCUAUUUAAAAAUUUUAAUACCUAAGUUGCACUAAAAAUGUCAGGAAAAUGAUGCAUAUGCCAUGCCAUGGCCAAUAAUGUGACAUACAAGAUGGUACCAUACAAAGAUGGCAUUAAUUUAGCUUCUCUAGAAAUGAAGGCACUUUAAGAGUACAAACUAUUUCAAGAAAAAAUAGUAAACAAAUCAAGGAGAAAACAUGCAAUCAUAAUAGCAACAUCAAGCUUUAAAAGUUCCUAAGCAUAUAACCUAUAUAAGGUGGGAAGCCAUAAAUUGUAUACUCAAUCCAACCAUUUAGUAUACAUAAAAAUCCUCAUCUUCAUCAGUAUUCAGCUUAUAUUUUAGAAGCUAAGCAUAUCAUAAGCCAUUUACAUACAUAAACCAAGGUAUUGCUCUACUUAAAGAUCAGGAAGCAUAUGGAUGCACUAGCUAUGAGUGCACUGAUGUCACAUAACUUCAAUGUAACUUUAACUAUUUUACAUUUUUACCUGCAUAACAUAGGAUUCUAGGCUUUUCUCCGAACCAUCAGAAUCAUAUCUUCCAUCAUAAGAAUCUUCUGCACCUUCAAUUGAUGCUCGUUCAUAUACUCCUAGUGAAGAUACAAAGGUCUGCCAGAGUGGCCCCAAGAUCACUAAGAUGUCACCACAAUAACAAAAGAAAGAAUCAAAAACCAUAAAUGGAAAAUCACAAAAUUUUUUCUCAAAUUUGGCUAUUGCAAGUAUCAUACUGCUAAACUCAUAUCAAAAUAAGAAAGUUAUACCAGUAAAUUGAGUUUCCAUGAGGCUUGGGAAAUUCUGUAGGAACUGAUUCAAGCACUUCAAAACCUACUUAUAAAAAAGUUUUAAGAUAAUUUCAGGGUUGACCAUUUAAGAUUGAAAUAUUAAAAAAUGAAACGUUAGACGCAUAUGGAGCUGUACCUCCAUUCUGAUGCUCCAGUCACCAGGGUCUUCAGAAUGUACUGGAGGUCUAAGGACAACACAAAACUGAUCUAACCAUAGCUGAAGCAUUUCUGACAUCAAAGCAGUUGUUUCUGCCUAAUUACAGAAACUCACAAUCAGCUAAACAGUUCAAAGGAUUAGAAUUUUAUAAGAGUAGCUUUGAAACUUCAAGAGUAAAAUUCUGAAGAUACCUUAUAUACACCACUCAUACUCCCAAGAACAGAGGUAAAAGAAUAUACUAUGGAAAAAGCCUUUAAGCGAAGGGAUUUGUCAUACACCUGCAUGAAAAAUUCAACUAGUUCCUGAGUAAUACUCAGGGAAAAUUGAUCCCUAAGCUUUAUGCAACAUGCCAAAUUCACAGCUGUCAUUCUGAAUUUUGGAAAAAUAGGUAAUAAGCUAGUUCCAAGUUGUUUACUGUAGAGUAACGUAAUAUUCGAUAAGAAGCAAACUCUAACUUAUAGUAAUUAUUUUUGGGGGAGAGAGAGAGAGAGAGAGACUGUAUCUGGUAUAACUGCAACUUCACUUCUUUCUAACUAUUUAAUAUUUCUGCUGCAUGUUAAACCUAACAGCAGAUGUCAUUGUCAAAAUAUUAAUAUCGCAACAGCAAGCAUAUAUUCUGCCACUUUCCCAUCAUAUAACUGCUUAGUGCACUUGGAUGAAUGGAGAAGGUGGAAAGAGAAGGAAAUGAGGGAGAAAUAAUUGUUUGUACGCCCGCACCAACUGGCAUAAGCAAAUAAUUGUUUAGCCAAAGAUGGAUUUUGAGCCAUGGAAUGAAUCGAGGAACUAAAGAAAAGAUACAGCAGAAGUUGCUCAGAGAGCUAUAAGCAAAGCGCUGGGAAUGGAAAUGCCCGUAGAGGUAGUAGCAAGCGCAGCGCAGUAAGGGUUGGAAAGCCAUUAUGGUGGCCAUAGAUCACUAGCAUGUGAGAAGCAAGCAAUACCAACCUCUGGUACUACUUUUUUCCUCUGAUUUGAUAUAAUAAUAAACUUUUCUACAUAGACUUUUACACUUCUGGUUCAAACAAAAAUUCUUGUUACCGAUUGUCAUGGGUAGUAUAUACCAAAGUCGCUGAACUUCACUCCAGGUCUAGAAUGAUUUUUACAUAAUUAAAAUAAAUCAUUUCAAAAAGAACAAGCCUAAUAUACAAGCAUAAAAUUCCAUUUUGGAGAUUCCAAGAUAUGGUUAGAAUUCUAAAAAUUUCUAGAACAAAAACUAACCUGAGGAGAGGAUAUAAUUGCAUGCAAACAAGGGAAUAAAACAGGCAAGAGUUUUGGCACCAUCUUAUCAUCCAAGUCUGCAGAGAGAAGAGCCAAACAUCUUAAAGCCCCAUGUACUGCACUACACAAAAAAAAAAAAGAUGUCAUAUUCAUCCUCCACGGAGCUGGUUUACCACAACAAAACACAAACAAGAAGCAAAAGCUACUUGAUACAAGUUGUGCGAACCAUACCAGCAUUCACAUUAUUCUGCUCAUUCAUCAGCUUCAAAAGAAAUGGUAAAAGGUCCGGCCAAUCCUCUGGCCAGUCAUAAUGAGCAACAGAUGCAACAGCCACACUAACUGCAGUGCAGAUUUUUUUAUGAGGAUCAUCUACUGAAGCCAGGAGAAGUCUACGUAUCGUGGCCUGAUAAUACAACUUGUAGGAAAUUAGGAACAUGAAAAGAAAAGGCAGAGAUCUGUAAAUCACAAAUAGUUUGCUCAUAAAUAAAGGAAACUAAAAACUAAUAUUGACGGAGUACAAGACGCUAAUCAAAGUGAGCUUCUGUCUCUUCCACUAUAUUUAUCACAUACAUUCCUUAACUAUGAAAUACACAACUCUGGAAUUUUGAGGGUAACAAAAAGUGACAGAGAGACAGAGAGAUAGGAGAACCUUCUCAUCAUUUGAAACAACAGGAUGCUCAAAAGAUUCUUCAUCUUCAUCCCAAUGUUUCUUAAUGAAUUGCUUUAGAAGAACAGCAGCUAAGUAGAAUCAAGUUAAAGUACACAAAUUAGAAAUAGAAAAGACAUGCAAAACCCUUAAAUACUUAGAAGCCAAAUUAAUUCAGCUCUGUCAACAGAUUAGUAGUGCAGUGCAUAUACUAAUCUGUCUGAGAUCUACAAAAAGAUAAUUCACUUCUAAAGAAGGAUAUCUGACGCAGCCCUGGUGAUAGCUCCCUGUUUGCAGCAACUUUGGAUAACGCACUUCCAAAGCCUUCAAAAAAGAUAAGCAAAGAAAAAUCAAUAUCUUGUCCUUACAAUCAUAAAAUACAUAGACUUCUUAAUCCAAUGGCACUCAUUCAUCUAAAGAAAAUAUUCCUGCCAUACAAAACCCCAGUUCUACGCAAACAGUGGAUUAAACUGCCUCAGAUGGUGAUGGAGAUUGUACAAAGUUUGUACAAUCAAAUCACUUCAAGUAUGUCACUUUGUUUAAGGGUUUGUUUAGGGAGCUAAACCAUAGAAAGGAAAAAAAAAAAUCAGUCUUGAGGGCCUUAAAUUAGGAAAAAGAAAUAAUGUGAUCAUCUGAAUUCAGUACAAGUGCCAGAUGGCAUGUGACAGGUGACAGGAUGACAGAAACGGUUUUGAACCCCUUUUUGUCUCAUUCUGAGUUGAUGACACUUCAACUUCAUCAAUUCAGAAUCCUCUUGAUACUAGAUACCAAAUAGAAACAUCUCAAAUUACUCAAACUGAAAUGUGACCAGUAACUGGAUGCUGUAAAAAUUAACAACCAAAGUAGUAACUGAACCAGCGAGCUGGGGCCACAAAUAAAGGCCUUUUCCUUGUUAAAUAUCUCUCAUUUUUAACAAAAAUUAAAACCUAAUAAACUUAGCAUUAGCUUUUUAUCUACAAAUACAAAUUUGACCUAAUGAAAAAGCCAUUUUUUCUCGCAAAAUAUCAAGAACCCAGAAUUCACUAGAAAGAUCAUUCAUUAUUACACUGACUGUACAAUAUUUCAUAAUGAGCUAAUGAAUUCACAAUAAAGUUCAUUCAUUUCAAGCGAGGCAGAUAAAAAGUGCAAUUUUCCAAAAUAUGGAAAACUCAGAACUGAAUUUAUAAUAAAGUUCAUUCAUUUCAGACACAAAAUCAGAAACAAUAAACAAUGCAUUGGAUUUUAGCUACAUAUAUAGGUUUGAGCAAAAAGAAAAAUAAACAUUUUCUUCACAAAAUGUUGAAAACCCAGAAUAAAAACCACAUAAAGUCCAUCCAAUUCCACCAUAAAUCCAAAAAAUAGUAAAUUUGGCACUCCAUUGUUGGGAAAUAUAUACAAUCUGAGCUAAUUUAAAAGAAUUUAUGUGAAUGAGAACCUGCUUGAAGGGAGACCUGGUGAAGAGAGGCUUCAGCAAGGGACCGGACUUUCUGAUCAGUAUCCAGAGUGGCAUUCAAGCAACUGAUGAGCCACUGCUGUUCUUGAUCCAUUUUUACUACUGAUGUAGGCAAAUGUGGUGGAUAUCUAUACAGCAAACUAUGUUCUUUUUUUCUUUUUUCUUUUUUUUUUUGGAGGGGAGAGUGGGAGGUGGGGAGGAGAUUAAGGGGUUUGGACCCUUUUCAGGAUUUGGAAUUCAGGGAGAGAUUAAGGGGAAAUGGGGGAAGAAAAAGAGGUGUGGGUUUUCCAAUUUGAGCAGUGAGCUAUGUACAACCUCAACUUAGCGGUUAGCAGGGCAUAGGGUUUUUGCGUUCGGAAGGUUUAAGAUUGGCCGGACCAGAAUCCCGGUUCAGCGGUGGACGCCUCAUAUUUCCGCGCCAAUUCAUUCGUUCUCACUUAUUUUCUUUCUCCCUUUUUUUUUUUGUUUUCAAAUAACUUCUUCUGAGGGUAAUUUCAAUUAGGCAGUUAAUUUUCACAAUGCUAUCAAGACAACGCGAUAAAAUGCAAGGCAAGACAAAAAGAAUAGGGAAAAGCUAGUAUAUAUUUUACAAAACGUUAUACCUUAUCCAAUUAAAUGUACUCUUACUUCUAAUAUUGUUUGAGUGCACGUAACUAUGAAAUCUAUAAUAUUUCAUCUAAUUGUAAUAAUUAAUAUUCGUAGUUACAUCCUUUAGAUUUUUAUUUUUAUUUUUUUUUGCAACCAUCAACACAUUAUUCAACACUUUAUUCUUGCUUUUGGUCACAAUUUUUUUAAAAAAAAUUAUUUUUUAAAAAAAAAAAGAAAAUUGUGUGUAAUAACUAUCACAAGCUAUAGCGUGUGAUUUGCAUAAUAAAGGUUGAGCUUGUUUAACUAUUUUUAUUCAUUUUUUCUUCAAGGCUUUUUUCAUUGAUAUAGAAUAACUUCUUUGUUUGGAUUGCCUCUUUCCAAAGGAAAAUUGCUACAUUUUUCGUAGAUACAUUUUUUAAUCAUCUUUUUACUUCACAUAUAUUAAAUCGUUACCGUAUAUUUUCUAUAAAAAGUUCAGAAAAAUACAAUCCAAACAAAGUAUUUUUCUUCCUUUAAAGCAUAUUUCCACUGAUGUGCAUAGAAAUCACUAUUCAAGACUUCAAGCUAGUCUAUUUUUCCCAGAUUGAUCAAGACUUUCUGAGCUAUCCUCUUAGAAGAAAUACUUUGGUAGUGCUUGAUCAGCUGUUCAGUCAUUUUUACUCCAGACAAUGAUUUGAAAAUGGAAAAAUGGUAGUGCUGGAAAAACACUACUACUAGUAUGAGAGGAAUAGAGGAGUAGAUAGAAACAGAAUAAAGAAGGAAUGUUUACAUGCUAAUAAUUAAACCGGAUGACUUCAUAAGCCCAAGAAGCAUUAAACUCCUCAAAUAGCUGAAGAAACCAUUAUUGUCAAUAGUCGAAAUGACCUAUAAAACAAGAAAUUCACAGAAAUCUAAAUUUGGCUGCCUAUUAAUCUUCCUGAUCACAAAAGUUGUUGAUGAAGUUAUUCCCAUUUGCUCUUAAUUUGAUCGUCAUGCAAGAAAUGAUAUUCCAUUACCAAAGUCCCAUCCAUUCUCCUCAAAACAAACCUUUCAACCAAAACAUAGAGGCCAAAUUCUCUCCAUUCAUCACUUUUCUUGAACUCCUGUGCCCUUGUGAUCCUCACCUGUCUAUUCUUCCCACUUCUCCAUCCUUCUCUUUCUUGCUCCCAUUUCAUUCUUUCCACAAUUUCUGGACUCAAACCAACCCUUCUUUUGGCUCCUCCUCCAUCAGAAAAUCCGAACCAUAUUGCCCCCUCAUCUACAAUUCCCUCGUCCCAUUCAGCCUUAAAACCACCAACAUAGACAGCUUCGUUUUCAAGAACAACAUCCACAGUUAACUGUUUUCCUUCAUUAUCUUCUUUGUUAGAGUUAGAGCAAGAGAAAAUCUUCUUCCACUGUUGCUCCAAUGUCAUCACGUAAAACAUUGAAUUCGACAUCUGAUAUCUCCGCAUAAUGGUGCCUUCUCUAACAAACAUGAAAGGACAGUACCACUUCCCAACGACAAGAGUUUGAGAUUCCUCACAUUUCAGGGGGAAAUCGAAUCGCGGCAUGCAGGCUCGAAGAGCUUUAUCAAGGCCUGGAGCUUCAUCUAACAUAAAUUCUGUCGAAAGGCGAGCUUUCCAGCCAACUUCGUUAAUCCUCCUCAAUGGUUCAGGAGGAAAACCACCAUCCACAGUAGAUAAUCCGGCAAAAUAACGACCAGAUCUUUUAACAAUUUUGAACUGUUGAUAAACGCUGCUUGGAUCCAGUGGCCUUGGUCUUACAUCUUCGAUACAGCAUGUGUUAUUGCAGCUUAAUUCCUUUGAGCAAGUUAAAGCUUCCCUGAAUACGCAAUUUUGGAUUUUACAAAAAAAGGUUAGAAUGUGCCUAAUGCAAAACUCUAUAUUUAAGUAACAAAACUAAAAAGUUCCAAUUACCGAAGAUAAUCCAACAAACCAAACAAUACUAGAAUUUUCUUAUAAUUCCUCCACCUCUUCUUUGACCCCCAUCAAGUUCAUCUAAAAAUAAGAACAUCGUAGAAACCAUGGAAGUAGAACAAAGUAAUUAACUCAAGAAACUGGUGCUAGAAAAGAUUGUUACAAUGUAGUAGUAUAGUACCCUGAAAAAGGUUCAUCCCGAGAUAUGACAUAGUAGAGAUUUGAAGAAAGCGGCUGGUUAAGAACUGGGAUGAACAUAAGAUGAUCGUACACAUUUCUGUAAUAUCUGUCACCAUUUGAGUAGGUUACUACUCUCACUAUAGUCUUAAUGGUUAGACUAUAAUUCUGCGGAAAAGGCAGGUCCCUUACACGGUCAUUAUCAAAUGAACACAAUCCAAAACAGCAAGUUUCAACCUUUCUAUCUUGAAUUACUAGGAAACCUGAAUGUGGCCCUUCAGGAAGUGAUGAAAGGGAGUCUGGAGAGUUCUUGAAGAAAGAUUUAGGCCUUGUUACAUACAUGAUGGCGUACCAAUCGCAAAAAGGUUUGCUGUACUAACAAGCUUGAUGACAGAGAAAUAAAAGUACUGAUCAGAUGACUAAAGAAAGGGUUUUCUAUGAUUACUGGGGAUUUUGAGAAUCAAAUCAGCACCAAAAUUUCAGGGAAUUUGAGGAUAAACUUUGAGGAGAUCAAAAUAUCACUUAUCCAUCGUGACUAACGUCCCAAGAGUCCCGCAAGCGGAACAAAAGCCUACAGAAUAGGAAUGGCAACUGAUUCGUUAUAUUCUAUUUGGUGCAGCUCUUCUUCUUUCCCUUACCAUCACGCCUGCCUGCAGAAUAGUGAAAACAGUUCGUUGCAUUGUGAUGUCGUAACCUUCGUCGGUUUGAUUGGGUGAUUCUUAGUAAGGCUACUGCGAUUUGAUAAUUUGGAUAUGUCUAAUGAGAUUGAGACUUUGCAUAGAGGACCAAAAAAUUCAUAGACAGAAUCUGUAGACUUGCAAAAAUAUUUUCCGGCAAACGGCAGCCAGUAACAAACAACACAUCAUGGAUACUUUCCGGUGAUCUACCACUGAAUGCUAUUAAUUCCUGGUAUUCCUAUUCCAUUAUCCAUGGAGAGUAACACUAGAAUCAGUACCAUGUCUGGUGAGGAUGAUUGAAAUAGUAUGUUAUUACAAACUUCCAUCCAUUCUGUUCAGUAUAAAACAUUCAAUGAAACACAGCACCAAGUUCUCUCCACUCAGGCACCCUGAGAAUUUUGCAUUAAUCUGCAGUUGUGGUAUGAAUACUAAUGAAUUCUAUCUGCCUGCUCAGUACUAACGCUGCCACAGUUAAAGUUCUGCUUUGGAAAGAAAAUUAAGAGUCCUAAUCGAAUGUGGCAAUUAUUAUGCUCAAUCUUUGUUUUUCAACUUUCUUCAGCCCAUUAUUGAUGAUUCGAGGUGGAAAAUGAUGGGUCAUGCCAAAGUUUUGCCUGGUUUCAAUCUAGAAAUUGAGCAAAAUAGAAUUUUCUAGACAAGCACCGGGGAAACAUUGAAUUGUUUUAUACAAACCUCAGCAACGUGGCCGAAGAGUAUUACUGAUUACAAACAUGUAAAAGGACAUUUUGCUUGGACAGAUGGGAUUUCAAGAAAACAAACUAGAAUCAUGGAUAAGUUUGUAGUACAUAAUUAAGAAAUGCUAUUACUCCCUGGUUGCUCCUUAAACAUAGUACUAGACUCUUAUCCCACCUCCAUUUUAUCUGGUGAGAGUGUAGGAGAUCAUAUGGCACCAGCAAACUUCCAUCCAUUCUCUUUAACACAAAACUUUCUACCAAGAUAGAGCAACCAAAUUCUCUCCAAUCACCCUUGUCCCCAAAAUUUUCUUUCCUCUCAACUCUCACUUGCCUUCCUUUCCCACCUAACAUUCCAGAUCUUCCUUGCUCGCAUUUCAUUCUUUGAACUAACUCCACACUCAGACCUACAUUUGCUUCUUCUCCACCUCUAUUGAUGCUCCUAAACCAUAUCUUUCCUUCAACUACAUUUCUCUCAACUAGUUAAGUAAAUAUUAUAAUUUCAUCCCACAUAUUUUUGCACAUCUUGAUUAAUCGCCAUAACGGUAGAUGCUUUCCAUGUAUUUUCCAUUUUAGAUAAAAACUAGAUUUAUGUGGAUAUUUUGAAAGCUUAUGAGAUUGUAUUAUUAUGCACAAGCACAGAGGGUUGAGACAUUUACCCAAAACAAAGUAUACCUUAGUUUUGUCAUCUUUACCAGCAUGGAGAACCUUCCCUCCCUCAGUUAUGGAGUCAGGAUCAUAGCUACUAGAGAAUCAAGCAGUUGGACUGUUUUUUUCCGGAACUGCUCUUCUGAUAUUUCGAGAUCAAAAUCUAUGGACCAAGACACCAGGCAAAGUAAAUUUUGAUGCAGCAAAUUUGCGAAAUGAUUUAAUUUGACAUUUAGUUGGAAAGUUAACAAAAGAUUACAAUAUAACGUUACACAUUGUUUAGCUCCUAAGGUCACCUGGUAAAGAAUUAGUCUUUCCAUUUUGGGCUAAACCAAACCACAUUUUUUAUUCAGACGACGUUUUUUAUUCACACACUAAUCAAAUAUCAAAGGAGGAUAACUUAGCAGAGUCUCUUGCACCAUGGUUGAGGUUCUCCAGACCACAUCUUUAUUGCCCGUUAGUCAUUGGCUAAUCCACCUAGCUUAGUAUUAUUGGUAGCACGACAGAAACAAUUUCAGGCAAAGUUUGACAGUUGCUGUUUUACAUCUAUCAUCAAGUUGCCAAGAGUUGCUGGAAUGGUCUUUUGGGCCCUAAAAACAUUCAUUUAAACCACAACAGAGUCUACUAUGCAAGGUAAUAUCCAGAAUGCACUAUUGGAUGAGCAAAUAUAAUCAAUUUAUUCCAUGAAACAGAAAAUGCUAGAGAAGUAACCUUGAAAUACUGACAUUUUAUAUGGACCUCAAUAACCACAUACUUACAUAUAUAUUUACGGAUAUUUUUGUCUUACAAGCAGUGUGUGGAGAAAACAAACCAAAAUUAAGGAUGAAACCAACGCAAAUCAAGAAAACAAAUCAAAAUCUAGGAUAAGUCUAUGGUAAUAGAACGUUUACAAAUGCAACAGUGAAGAGACUCAAUCCCAUGUGCACUUGAUCUGGUGAGGGUGUUUGAAAUCAUAUGUCAUUAGCAAACUUCCAUCCAUUCUCUUAAACACAAAACUCUCAACCAAAACAAAACAUCCAAAUUCUCUCCACUCACCCUUUUCUCCAGAGUAUUCUAUCCGUUCCACCCUCACUUGCCUUUCGUUCCCACCUAGCCAUCCAGCUCUUUCUUGCUCCCAUUUCAUCCUUUGAACUAAUUCUAUGCUCAGACCAGCUGUCGCUUCCUCUCCAGCUCUCCCAAAACUCUUAAACCAUAUUGUUCCUUCAACUACAUUUUUCUCAUCCCACACAGCUUUGUUGCCAGCAAUGUAGACAGCUUCUCGAUCAAUGGUGACAUCCAUGGACACAGACUUCGCCUCAUGAUAGAUAUUCUGUGUUGAAUAUACCUGCUCCCACUUUUGCUCCAGAGUCACCUGAUAAAACAUUGAUCUUUUCAUCUGAUCUUUCACUAUCCCAUCUUUGAUAAACAGAAAAGGGCUAUACCAUUUGCCUACUACAACUGCUUCAGAACUCUUAUACGAUGGUGGUACACUGAAUUCAGGAAGGCGGGCUCGUAGAGCAGCAUUGAGACCAGGAGCUUCGUCUAAUUCAUAGUGUUUUGGAGUUUUUGUGUGAACUGACCACCCUUUUCUUCUCAAGAAAUAGGGAGGAAAACCAUCCGGCGCAACAGAUUUAGCAUAAAAGUAACCCCUGCCAACGCAAGCUGCUUCAUAAACAAAAACCUCAAAUUGUUGGUAAAUGUUUUUUCGAUCAAAUGGCCUUGGUUUAAUAUCUUUAACACAACGGCAGAAACAGCAGGUGGUCUUGUCUUCUUCUCUAGAACAAGUCACGGCUUUCCUGAAAUAAUGAGGAGGAGAUUAAUUAGGAAAUGCUCCGCGACAAACCAAUCAGAUUAAGGAACAAAUUAGUGGCAUACUGUAGGAAAGCAUUAACAUGCAAUUAUUAGUUUUUCAGGUUCUGGAUAGAGAACUUUUAGAUGUGAAGAUAUCUGUUUCAAGUUUGCUGCAGAGGCUAGAGCAUAAUACAAGUGAUGAAUGCAGUUAAGUCACAAUCUGUCAACCAAAGUUGUCUUAUUAAAAUUGAUUUUGUUCAUCGAAAUUCUCUUCCUGCUGUAAAAUUAUGCUGAUUUUGUUUUCUGAAACUUUGCAUCUCCUUUUAAACUUAGCCUGCUUGAAGACUAUUUGAAUUAUAUUCAGGCCACUCAAUUCCAAGGUUUCAAAGUGCUUGAUUCUGGUAUGGUUCUUUUCAGUUGAAGCUCAUUCUCCAUUUCAAAGAAGAAUCACUUCCUAACCAGUCAUUUAAAGCUGAACUAAAAAACAAGCUCAUCAAAACAUAAAUACAAGUUAAAACCAGAAUAAGGAGCUUUUUGAUACAUACCCUUUGUGAUUUCCAUGUGGCUUGAUGACAUAGUAGCGAUUCGAAGACAAAGGAAGGUUGAGAACUGGAAUGAAGACAGCAUCAUCAAGGGAAACAUCUUGGGACUCACCACUACUUUGUACGUACUGAACUGUCAAGUCCUUGUUCUGAGGAAACGGCAGAUCCCUGACGGUUCGAUUCUUGCACAAUCCAAAACAAGAAUAUGUCUCCGAUUCUUCAUCUUGAAUUACCAAGUAUCCCGAAUUUGGACCCUCCGGGGGUAAUGAAAGUGUAUCUGGAUUCUUUGUGUACUCAGAAAGUGGCCUUGCAACAUACAUUUUUCCCAAAAUCUUCUUCCCCAAUCCUCCUGUGUUAGUCUUUUUAUUGAUGUUUAUUUGCAAAUACCAUAUCCUUCUCUGUCUCUAUAUGUAUAUCUACAAGAGGAUAAGCUUCUCUGUCCCUAUAUGUAUGUCUACAUAUGGAUAAGGUGGGAACAUUUAGAAUCUUCAGUAUACAACCAAGGAAGUUCACACUGGACAAAAUAAUAUCCUAAUUGCAAAGAUAGGUUAGAAAUCAACCAACCUGGAAAAGUUGAACAAGUUAGCUAACCAGUCAACAAGCUGACCAGUGCUAAAUCUGUUUGCAGAUACAAUUUUCUCGUUGAUUCCAGGAAAGUUACCCGGAAUCAGCAGCUUAUAUUUGUCGAAACCUUGAAAACAAGUUCAGCAGCUUUAUGUAGAUUCAAGUUUUACUGUUUCGCACAUAAACAAUGUCCGGCAACAUUUGCUUAUUAUUUUUUGACAACGUCAAGAAAAUUAAAUAUAGGAUAAAUUACACUUUAUCCCCUGUAAUUUAGCAUUUUUCAUGUAAUCUCCCUAUAGUUUCAAAAAUUAUAUAUAGCCCCCUUAUUAUUUGAAUUAAAGUGUCAAAGUGACGGAAAUGAUUAUUCUUAACAAAACUUUUGAAAAUAUCGAAAUUACCUUUAUAAAUACAUGACACAUUAACAGCAGCGUAUAGUUUUAUGUUUUAUCAUAUAAACCCCUUAUAGUUUAAUUACUUUAUCAUAUAACCCCUUAUGAUUUUUAAAAUAUACACAUAAUUCCCAUCGGUUAAUAAAUAAUUUUUAACUUUACAUAAGGAUAAUUUUGACAUUAUAGGUGAUUCCAUUACGAAUGAUUAUUUUUGUCAUUUUGAUACUUUAAUCCAAAUUAUAAGGAGGUUAUGUAUAGAUUUUGAAACUAUAAAAGGGUUAUGUAAAAAAUACUAAAUCACAGGGGAAUAAAGUGUAAUUUGCCCUUAAAUAUAUAAUAAUAUCUUUUGUCAAACGUGUAGCCGUGUACUCCAGAAAAUUUGACGCACUCCAACAUGUCGGCAACAGCCAGAUUUAAGUUGAAGCAACUUGAAUGUGGUAAUUACUGCGUUUUUAGCUAGAGUUAUGGAAGAUAUUAAAAAAUUGUCAAGGAUAAGAUUAGAAGCCAAGAAGUCCUUGCUAAUUAUUUUAAGGUUGAUCCGUAACUGAAAUGAAUUGACUGAUCAGGAGGAAAGUUCAUGGUAUUUCUUCUCGUAGCUGGUCGAGCCUCAAAGAAAGAAACCAAUACCAUGAAGGCUUGAACAAACAGCAAAAACUUCUAUUCCGGUCUGGGGUACUUUUGGGCCUGGAUAUUUGGUGAUAUUCUUUUUUCAUGUUAGUACCCAUUUAGGGGUGGGCUGCUUUGGGUUCUAAGGUUAGAAGGAAUCAUGUUAUCACGAGAACUGCUCUUUAACCUGCUUUUGCUGCAAAACACCAUUAGGCCUGUUGGGCCAUGUAUAAAGUUGUUGGCAAGAAAACAUCUAUGUAGCGCAACAUGUUUUGUCCAUUUUAUAGGGAAUCUCAUCCAAAAGAACACCCAAUUGUGGAUUUGUGGGGACAGGCCUUGCAACAUACAUCUUUCCCAAUCCCAAAGCUUCUUCCCCAAUCCCUCCUCUUUUUUUUUUUUGUCGAAACAAUAGAUGUCUUAUAACCUAAUCUAGCCUAGUUUAAGGGGAAGGGGAGGGGGUUCGAUGUGAGUACAGACUCCAUCGAUGAAGGUCAAUUAAGACCGCCACAAAUUGUGGCAAAUUUGUGGGAGGCAGGGAUUGAACCCCUGACCUCCAGCAUCACCUUUAAUGGUGAUGACCACUGGACCAAAUGGCCAGUGGCUCCCCAAUCCCUCCUGUGUUAGUCUAUUUAUUGAUGUUUACAGAUGUUUGACAAGUCAUAUUUGCAAAUACCAUAUCCUUCUCCGUCUCUAUAUGUAUAUCUACAAGAGGAUAAGGUGGGAACAUUUAGAAUCUUCACUAUACAACCAAGGAAGUUCACGCUUGACAAAUAAUAUACUAAUUGCAAAGAUAGGUUAGAAAUCAACUAACUUGGAAAAGUUGAACAAGUUAGCUAACUAGUCAACAAGCUGAUUAGUGCUAAAUCUGUUUGCGGAUACAAUUUCCCCAUUGAUUCCAGGAAACUUACCCGAAAUCAGAUUAUAUUUGGGGCCAAACCUUGAAAACAAGAAGUUUAUGUUGUCCUAUUGCGUCUACGGUGGAAAGUUCACUUUUCUGCUCAUACUAGGCAGAAGCAAUGCAUGGAGCCCAACUGUGCUCUGCGGGACGCACAAAGAAGGAUAUUCGGGCACCAUUGGAGAGAGUGGGUUGUGCGUGGAUAAAAAUUGUAAUACAUUUUAAAAUCACAAUAAAAGUCCUCUUAAAAAUUUGUUCAUCAUCUAAUGCCCCGUACUUAUAUUUGAUAAAGGGAUAAUUUCAUAAACACCCCUUAAGAUUUUUGACAAUUUCACUUGGCUCCCCUUAUGUUUCAAUAAUUACAUAGACUUCCUUUGGUCUAAUCAAAUGACUAAAAUGUCUUUCACUUAAUAGUUAAUUCAUAAAGGGACAUUUAAAACCGAAAAAUACUUCUUUUUAUUCUACUUGUCAUUUCCUAAUCUCAAAAAAUAAUUUCCAUCAAUUUUCUAAUUUUCAUCUCUUUUUCCCUCCCUCUCUCCAUUCCCUUUCAUAUUUUUCUCUCUUUUUCUCCUACAAUUGCAUCUCCCUCUUACCAAAUAUCGCGUUCCAUUAUUACCAAUCACACCACUAUUAAUUUUUUAUCAUCUCCAAAAUUUAUUUGUAUUUUUUGUAUUCCUGUCUCUUUUUUACUAUAAAAAUUUUAGAUCCUUUUUUUUUCAAUAGUUUUACUCUUUACAAAUGUUAACCAAUUGAAAUUACAAAAUUAACAAGGUGCAGACUGUGAAUUUUAUUGUCAAAUUAGGAAAAGAUGAAAAAGUGGUAGUGAUAUAGGAAAAAAAUGAAAUUAAGAGUUGGAACAUAAAGAAGCGACUAUUAUGCUUGUUAAGCAAAAAAAUCUAGCAAUUACUCAUUGGUUUUCUUUUUUAUUUACCUAUUGAUUAUGAUUUUACUAUGAAAGUAGAAUUUUGUUUCUAUUUUUAAGAGUGCUAGAGCAAUGAUGAAUUAUAUUUUAGGGACAUGGGGGCAUUUUUUAGUUUAGUAUUAGUAGUGGUGGUAGUGAGUUGCAUUAGACAAGAAUUAGCAAGUAAUGAAUUUUGAGAUGAGUUGAAGUCGCUGGACUUUGUUUGUUUUAGUGAGUAUGACACGUAGAAAAAAUUAAAGAUUAAAAUCUUGUUUUGUUUUGUCUUAUUCUUUGAAAAAUGGUAUUUUAGGAUAUUUGUGAAAAUUUAUAGGUUAUUGGGUUUAUAUUGUUACAUAAACCUUAAAAGCAAUGGAGCUAAGUGUAAUUUUUGAAACUUAAGAGGAGCUCUCUGUAAUUGCUAGAAACCUCAAGGGAGGUUUCUAAAAUUACCUAUUUGAUAAAUUAAAAUAGUUAAUUAAAUAUUCUAUUAUAAUAUAAACAACUAUAUGUCAUGGAGUUGAUUGAAUAAUUUUUUUUCUUUUUCUUUUUUUGGCAUUUCAACUAGUUGUCAAUUAAGUUUCAAUUGAAAUAAAUAUUUUAUAAUUAUUUAAAUUAUGCAAUAAAAUUAUCAAUUUAAGAUGAACAUAAAUAUAAAUACAUUAAAUUGUAUUAUUGAAAUAUUUGAUUUAAUAUGAAGGAAAGAUGAGAAGAAAUAGCAAGAAAUUUUUUAAAAAUUCAUAUGAAUCAUUUAUAUUGGUAAUCACCUCUAUUUGUUAUUGGAAUCACAAUGUCUAACCAUAACCGAUUGAAACUCAUAUCCACAAGUCAUACAACGAUUUGUGUUAUACUGCUUACAAUUAAAAUAACUAUAUAAUCAAAUUAAAAUUCUCUUUUUCUCACUAACUUUUCUUUUAUAUAUGAUUUCUGUGUUAUCAUUUGUUUGUAAUUAAUUUAACGAAAAGAUACUCUUUAGGCUAAAUGAUAUGUUUUGACAAUGUGGAUUACUUUUAAUGAUUUUAAUGAGAUUUAGAACUCAUUUGUUAUGCAUUUAAUCUAAUUCACAUUUUAUUUCAUUUGAAAUAUAAUUAUUUAAAACACAAGGGACCAUAUUGAUCAAAAUUUCAAAUAUUAGGGACCAAAAAAUAUAAUGUCAAACCCUUGACUAAUUCUAACUUGAUUUUGACUGUUAGAUAUUGUAGUUUUCUAUUAGUUGUCCUAAAUUUGCUUAAAAUAAAAAAUUUGGGACCAUAUUUAUUUUGGUCAAAAUAUCAGGGACUAGUUUAACUCAUAGACCAAAUAUUGGAGAACCAAAAUUGCACAUCUUCCUUUAUUUUAAUCAUGUUUGUUAUCCCAACUCUUUCUUUUAUAUUUACGCUUCAAUUAUUUCAAAUAUCAAAGUCAAUUAAAAAAUAAAAACUACUACAAUAUUUGUUUUGAUAUGUACAAAAUUCACUAAAUAAUGUUCAAAAUUUCACCCAUUUUCCGUUACAACAAUUUCGUCUUUCUUUUCGUACCUUUGUUUUCCACAUUUUUUUCACAUUCACUUUUUUGCUCUUCACUUUUUAUUGGGACCCACAUCUCGAUUAGGGUGUUCACAAAAUAUUUUCUAAGUAAAGGGUAUUAGAUGAUGAACAAAUUUUUAAGAGAGGUUUUAUUGUAAUUUUAAAAUGUAUUGCAUUAUUUCAUCCCAGCACAGCGGACCUUCUCCAGUGCCUGGUACAUUAUUUUUCUUUCCGUCUUUGUGCGUCCCCACAGAACACAGUUGGCCUCCUUGCAUCAGACGGAUCCUCUAUCCAUUAUGUCUGUCAACUUUUCUGUCUAAUAAAAAAUUACGUAGUUUCACUUAUUAAUACUGCUGAUGUAGCACAAAACAUUUAAUGCAUAUUUAGGGGGUGUUUGAUAAAUGAGUUUCAAAUUCAAUUAUAGCAUAGACGACCUACUUUUUGAAUCAACAUGACUGCAUAUAACUGUAACUUUGACAAACUCAAGAUUCUUGACCUCAAAUGCUUGUCUAAUCUCAUCUAAAUCAUGCGGUGUGAAAUUUCAAAGUAGAAGACUAUGGGUACAGUUGGACAUAAACAAACAUCAUUCAUGAAUAUAAUUGAAUUUGACACUCAUUUAUCAAACAUCCUCUAAAUAUGCAUUCAAUGUCAUGUGGCACAUCAGUAGUAUUAGUACGUGGAACUACGCAGACGGGAUUCUCUGUCCAUUAUGUCUGUCAAUUUUUUUGUCCAAUACAAAACUACGUAGUUUUAUUUAUUAAUACUAUUGAUGUAACACAAAACAUUGAAUGCAUAUUUAGGAGGUGUUUGGUAAAUGGGUUCCAAAUUUAAUUAUAGCAUGGAUGGCCUAUUUUUUGAAUCAACAUGACUGCAUGUAACUGCAACUCUGACAAAUUCAAGAUUCUCGUCCUCAAAUGCUUGCCUAAUCUCAUCUAAAUCAUGUGGCGUGGAAUUUCAAAAUAGAAGACCAUGGGUUCAGUUGGGCAUAAACAAACAUCAUUUAUGGAUAUAAUUGAAUUUGACACCCAUUUAUGCAUUCAAAUACCCCCUAAAUAUGCAUUCAAUGUCAUGUGCCACAUAAACAGUAUUACUAUGUGAAACUAUGUAGUUUUGCAUUGAACAAAAAAAUGGAUAGAUAUAAUGGAAGAAUCCCGUCUGCGAUGGUUAAGUGAUAUUUUGAUAUCCUCAAAGUUUAUCCCCAAAAUCCCUCAAAUUUUGGUGCAGAUUUGAUUCUCAAAAUCCCGAUGGCGGCAAGUUGAGCUAUCUUUGCAAGGUGGGAAGAAGUAAUAGGUUUACGUCUACGGUGGAAAGCUCACUUUUCUGCCCACAAUAGGCGGAAGCAAUGCAAGGAAUCGUGACUAACGUCCCAAGAGUCUCGCAAGCGGAACAAAAGCCAACAGGAUAGGAAUGGCAACUGAUACGUAAUGUUCUAUUUGGUACUUCUUCUUUCCCUUAUCAUCACGGUUGCCUGCAGAAUAGUGGAAACAAUUCGUUGCAUUGUGAUAUUGUAACCUUCUUUUGUUUGAUUUGGUGAUUCUUAGUAAGACAAUUACGAUUUGAUAGUUUGGAUAUGUCUAAUGAGAUUGAGACUUUGCAUAGAGGACCCAAAAAUUCAUAGACCGAAUCUGUAGACUUGAAAAAGUAUUUUCCGACAACCAGUUGCCAGUAACAAACAACACAUCAUGGAUACUUUCCGGUAAUCUAUCACUGAAUGCUAUUAAUUCCUCGUAUUCCUAUUCCAUUAUCCAUGGAGGGUAACACUAGAAUCAGUGCCAUGUACCCUUUAUCUGGUGAGGAUGAUUGAAAUAGUAUGUUAUUACAAACUUCCAUCCAUUCUGUUCAGUAUAAAACAUUCAAUGAAACAUAGCACUAAGUUCUCUCCACUCAGGCACCCUGAGAUUUUUGGAUUUAUCUGCAGUUGUGAUAUGAAUACUAAUGAAUUCCAUCUGCCUGAUCAGUACUAACGCUGCCACAGUUGAAGUUCUGCUAUGGAAAGAAAAUUAAGAGUCCUAAUCGAAUGUGACAAUUAUUAUGCUCAAUCUUUGUUUUUCAACUUUCUUCAGUGCAUUAUUGAUGAUUCGAGGUGGAAAAUAUGGGUCAUGCCAAAGUUUUGCCUGGUUUCAAUCUACAAAUUGAGCAAAAAAGAAUUUACUAGAGAAGCACAUAUGAAACAUUGAAUUGUUUUAUAAAACCUCAGCAAUGUGGCCGAAGAGUAUUACUGAUUACAAACAUGUAAAAAGACAUUUUGCUUAGACAGAUGGGAUUUCAAGAAAACAAACUAGAAUCAUGGAUAAGUUCGUAGUACAUAAUUAAGAAAUGCUAUUACUUCCUGGUUGCUCCUUAAACAUGGUACUAGACUCUUAUCCCAUCUCCAUUUUAUCUAGUGAGAGUGUAGGAGAUCAUAUGGCAUCAGCAAACUUCCAUCCAUUCUCUUUAACACAAAACUUUCUACCAAGACAUAGCAACCAAAUUCUCUCCAAUCACCCUUUUCUCCAAAAUUUUCUUUCCUCUCAACUCUCAUUUGCCUUCCUUUCCCACCUAACCGUCCAGAUCUUCCUUGCUCGCAUUUCAUUCUUUGAACUAACUCCACACUUAGACCUACAUUUGCUUCUUCUCCAGCUCUAUUGAUGCUCCUAAACCAUAUCUUUCCUUCAACUACAUUUCUCUCAACUAGUUAAGUAAAUAUUAUAACUUCAUGGUGUUAGCAGUAUGCUCUAGAGCAUUAAUAAUUAUUGUCUUGAUUAAAAUAAAAUGGCACUUCUUGAUUCAAUUAUUCUUGGUUUAGAUUUGAUUGAAUGUUGUCUAUUAUUAUUUGUUAAGGUUCCAUUCUCAUGUGAUGAGAAUAUGAGUGACGGAAAAACUUGGUACAAAUAAUAUUAAAUUGUUCCUAACCAUAGGAUUAUUAAUUGGGCAAGUUUAAUCCGGAAGAUUAGUCUCAUAUUUAUUUUCUAUGAUUAAUAUGAGAUAUUAAUGAUAAUAGAAUGGCGAAUCUCAUACCAUUAAGUAUGUGAUACUAGAACAAAUAUGAGAGGCACUUGUGUGACAAGUUGGCUUGAACACUGACUAAUUUAAAUAAUGAAUCAUUAGCUUAUUAAUGUCAAUGAUUCAUUAUUGAUUGCAAUGGUGCAUGUGAUCCUUAGACCUGAGAUGAUACGGUUGACUCAUUCAUGGGUGGUUAAAGUCUAUCAAUGCAGAAAAUACUUGUUCUAAUCACGGAUGAGUAUUGGCAUAUGGUACCUCUAAUUAGUUAUGCAUGGAGCUAAGUGUUUAUGCAAAAUGGGAUCUAUUAUUCCAUCAUGAAUGGUUUGAUAUCUUAUGAAAUCUAUCAAUCUUGACUAAAGGAGUUCUUGGCCAAGACAAAUUGAUUCAUGUAGAUGAUCAAUUUUAUAGUCAAGUAAUUUGAUAGAUUAAGUCAUACGAUUGAGUUUUAGAGUUUGACAUUAUUACUAAACUGAACUCAAUAGGGAUAUAGUAAUAGAAGGAUUUUUAUGCAAAACAAUUGCAGUCAUGGUUCACAUAAAAGGAUUCCAAUCUUUCAUCACCGGUUGGGUGUCAUGAUAUGCUGCUAGGCAUCACUCAUGAACUAUGUUAACUUGAGGUAUAUUUGGAGAACUUCUCAAGUGUUAGAAAUGUUCUAACUAAUGUUAAUAGGCUAACGUUUAUUACAUUGCCAACUGGGUAAUGGACCUAGAUAGUCACACACAAAAGGAUUUGAACUAAUAGGGAAGUUGAUUAGAAUGGGUUUAGACUUUGAUAAGGAUGCUAGCACAUCUUGAAACCUAAGCUAGAUGGAAUUUGGAGUUGGUAUUUGAGUAUGACUCAAAUAUUAUAAAGAUGAAAAUAAUAGUUAAUAUAAUUAUAUUAAUUGUGUUUAUAUUUUGAUGUGAUCAAAACUAAAACAUGAAUUAAAUAAUUGUAUUAAUUGUAUUCUAUUUUGAUUUGAUCAAGAUAAGAAUAAAAAUAUAAAUCGGCUGUUUUGAUUUGAUCAAGAUAAGAAUCAAAUAUGUAUUGGAUAAUCAUAUGAAUUAUGUAAUAUUGAUUUGAUCAAGAUAAUAUAAGAUAUUGAUCUAAUCAAAACAACUGUAUAAAUAAGCCCUAUUGACAAAGAGUUGUCAAGGGUCUACUAGGGUGAAAAACAAUCACGAUUGUUUUUGGAAAAGGAAGAAAGCAAUAUCGUUGUUUCUUCACUACCGAAACAAAACUCCAAAAUUCAGUAACCUAUUAAUUUGAGUCUGUGUGGACGAACUAGAGGCCUGACGUGUGGAAGGCUUAUUGCUGGAAUUCAAACAUCUACAUCAGGCAUCGCAUAUUCGUCUAAACAAGUAAGUACUUAUUUGUUUUGAAAUAUGAAGGCCUGAAUCAAAUUGCAACUUCAAGCAAGAAGAACAAAACUAAACUGUUUGCUCAUUCCGCUGCGCAAAUAAUUUUCUUUCACAUGGCACAUACUUUUGCACAUCUUGAUUAAUCGCCAUAACCGUAGAUGUUUUCCGUGUAUUUUCCAUUAUGGAUAAAAACUAAAUUUAUGUGGAUAUUUUGAAAGCUUAUGAGAUUGUAUUAUUAUGCACAAGCACAGAGGGUUGAGACAUUUACCCAAAACAAAGUAUACCUUAGUUUUGUCAUCUUUACCAGCAUGGAGAACCUUCCCUCCCUCAGUUAUGGAGUCAGGAUCAUAGCUACUAGAGAAUCAAGCAGUUGGACUGUUUUUUUCCGGAACUGCUCUUCUGAUAUUUCGAGAUCAAAAUCUAUGGACCAAGACACCAGGCAAAGUAAAAUUUGAUGCAGCAAAUUUGCGAAAUGAUUUAAUUUGACAUUUAGUUGGAAAGUUAACAAAAGAUUACAAUAUAACGUUACACAUUGUUUAGCUCCUAAGGUCACCUGGUAAAGAAUUAGUCUUUCCAUUUUGGGCUAAACCAAACCACAUUUUUUAUUCAGACGACGUUUUUUAUUCACACACUAAUCAAAUAUCAAAGGAGGAUAACUUAGCAGAGUCUCUUGCACCAUGGUUGAGGUUCUCCAGACCACAUCUUUAUUGCCCGUUAGUCAUUGGCUAAUCCACCUAGCUUAGUAUUAUUGGUAGCACGACAGAAACAAUUUCAGGCAAAGUUUGACAGUUGCUGUUUUACAUCUAUCAUCAAGUUGCCAAGAGUUGCUGGAAUGGUCUUUUGGGCCCUAAAAACAUUCAUUUAAACCACAACAGAGUCUACUAUGCAAGGUAAUAUCCAGAAUGCACUAUUGGAUGAGCAAAUAUAAUCAAUUUAUUCCAUGAAACAGAAAAUGCUAGAGAAGUAACCUUGAAAUACUGACAUUUUAUAUGGACCUCAAUAACCACAUACUUACAUAUAUAUUUACGGAUAUUUUUGUCUUACAAGCAGUGUGUGGAGAAAACAAACCAAAAUUAAGGAUGAGACCAACGCAAAUCAAGAAAACAAACCAAAAUCUAGGAUAAGUCUAUGGUA